CUUUGAUUGAACCAGGAUGAAUGCGGGUGUUGGAAGUAGAAUAUAUAUAUACAUAUAAAAUUGGUUGGGAGCCACGUGUACCAGUGUGUGUUGAUCUUGGCUUGAUUCAGUCUGCCUUGUAACAGGUGAGGUUUCUGCUUUCUAUCUGCCAAACCCCACCGCAAAAUUUGUCCAACUGGGCCUAACCUCAGGACCCAUUUCCAAGUUGGGUAUAAAACUGGGAGAAUAAGUCAUUAGGACUGACAUUGGCCUGUUGGUAUUACUAGGUCUUUGUUGGAAAUAAGAGCUUGGAGUUCCAAAGAAAACGAGCACUUGAACAAAAGAUUUCUCAGCAAGGCAAAUUUACUUCUGCCGUAGGGUGCUGCUGCUGGCAUUCCUGGCAAGAGCACACCUAACAAAAGAGAGAAAGGGUUUUUAUUCCUAACAAGUAGUCCCUGCUUCUGUGUCCUAUCCCCAUUGGCUGGAGUCGACAGCGCAAUCUAAACUAGUCCUGAUUGGCUAUUUUAAACAGGAGGCAUGUGGGUUACAGCUGUGGGAAGGGCAGGAAACUUGUUUACAGAGCUGGUUGCUAGGAGUGAGGGGGACUUUUCCAAAUAGGGAACAGGUUACAGGUUGAGAUUGGCCGGAGAAGUUGUUUAUAGAACGGGUAACUCGGAGCAGGAAGGUAUGAGGAAGUUGACCUUAAGAACAAAGAACAAGGAAGUUAAAACUUUGAAGAGAAAUCCAUUGUAUCUAACGAUUUCCCCCUUUUGAUUUUUAUAAUUAUUUCUCUUCAGACUUGUUUUAGCGUGUCUUGAUUUUGUUCCUCUUGGUCCUCUGAAAUUAGAAGCUUAACUGAAUGAUGCGAGGGAGGAUUGAGGAAGAUUUUGGUGGGUGAGAGCUGUUAAAAUAAGCUUUUGUAUUAAUCCUCAGAUACAGGGUAUGAUACAGCAUCCUACAAGAAUGAGCAAACCUAUUCUGAUGGCAGGAGAUUGAGGACAAACUGGCGAUGGAAUAUGAGAGG
rnacentral:lncRNA from 10 species